rnacentral:pre_miRNA from 1 species
CUAAUGGUUCACCUCGUUUUGCGUAUAUUCCCAAUCUUCUCUAUUUCCUUCUCCUCAAACACAGCCUGGGAGUGUUUGAGAAGGGGAUUGAGGAGAUUGGGAAGAUACGUAAAACGAGGUGAGCCAUUAG